GAAGAAGCGAUGAAAGAGAGAGUACUUUCAGACUUUGCCGAUAGCGAGCCGGGGGUGGUGGAAGCCUGGUGGAGAAGCUGAGAAGAAAAUCACUCUUGAGCUGGAUUAUGGAUAUGUACAUGAUCCCGGUCACACUGCCGUUACUAAGUGUCUAAGCGGCAAUUGUAUUGUACGAUUGCAAGUAGGGUGGUACCGCGAGAAUAUCCUCGUCCCUUUU
rnacentral:ncRNA from 1 species